rnacentral:misc_RNA from 1 species
GAAAUAAUACUCAAAGUUUAUUGUUUUAUGGUGUUCGUCUCAAAAUCCUUCUAGGACAAUUCACACCUUUAUGUCAAAGUCUUCCGGACUACGUUUGUAUUACCUUGGUCAAAUCAUCAUCCGACUUUUCAUAUCUAAUGACGACUCGGACCUCUAAUCCUUAACGAGAACCUGAUCAUCAUCAAAGUAGGCUAGAGACCCAAAGUUCAUUUCAAUUACUCAUGGACUACCCGUCGCCCUGAGAGAUGACUUAGCGAGGGUGUUCAUCGUAAUCAACCCUAUAAACUCACACGGCCUACUUUUCAGAUGAAUACGGCCAUACAAACGUAUAUGCUAACCAAACCUACAUUCGCUGAAACCAACAUAACUUGGUAGCCGAAUAAUUGACUCGGUACCACCGCCGUCGUAGCACCCGACUUUCACCGAAUCCAGUGCAUUUAGUCUACGAAACACUUGUGAAAUGAACUCCUUUCAGUCCUCUAGAGGCGUGCACGUUCGUGUAAAAACGAGAUUAGC